rnacentral:rRNA from 1 species
AGGACGAACGCUGGCGGUGUGCUUCACACAUGCAAGUCGAACGAGGUAGCAAUACCUAGUGGCGGACGGGUGAGUAACGCGUGGGAAUCUGCCUUUAGAUGGGGGAUAACGGGUCGAAAGACUCGCUAAUACCGCAUAUGACGAAAGUUGAAAGGAGUAAUCCGUCUAAAGAUGAGCCCGCGUCCGAUUAGCUAGUUGGUAGAGUAAAAGCCUACCAAGGCGACGAUCGGUAGCUGGUCUGAGAGGAUGAUCAGCCACAAUGGGACUGAGACACGGCCCAUACUCCUACGGGAGGCAGCAGUGGGGAAUUUUACGCAAUGGGCGAAAGCCUGACGUAGCGACACCGCGCGAGCGAAGAAGCCCCUUGGGGUGUAAAGCUCUGUCAGCUGGAACGAAAAAAUGACGGUACCAGCAGAGGAAGCAUCGGCUAACUACGUG